GUUGACCUCGGAUCAGGUAGGAAUACCCGCUGAACUUAAGCAUAUCAAUAAGCGGAGGAAAAGAAACCAACAGGGAUUGCCCUAGUAACGGCGAGUGAAGCGGCAACAGCUCAAAUUUGAAAUCUGGCCUUCUGGUCCGAGUUGUAAUUUGUAGAGGAUGAUUUUGGUGCGGUACCUUCCGAGUUCCCUGGAACGGGACGCCUUAGAGGGUGAGAGCCCCGUACGGUUGGAUGCCUAGCCUUUGUAAAUCUCCUUCGACGAGUCGAGUAGUUUGGGAAUGCUGCUCUAAAUGGGAGGUAAAUUUCUUCUAAAGCUAAAUAUCAGCCAGAGACCGAUAGCGCACAAGUAGAGUGAUCGAAAGAUGAAAAGCACUUUGAAAAGAGGGUUAAACAGCACGUGAAAUUGUUAAAAGGGAAGCGCUUAUGACCAGACUUUUUCUAGGCGGAUCAUCCGGUGUUCUCACCGGUGCACUUCGCCUAGUUUAGGCCAGCAUCGGUUUCUAUAGGGAGAUAAAAGCUUCGGGAAUGUGACUCCUUCGGGAGUGUUAUAACCUGUUGUAUAAUAUCCUUACGGGGACCGAGGUACGCGCUCUGCAAGGAUGCUGGCAUAAUGGUCAUCAGCGACCCGUCUUGAAACACGGACCAAGGAGUCGAACAUUUGUGCGAGUGUUUGGGUGUUAAACCCUCACGCGUAAUGAAAGUGAACGGAGGUGAGAGCCUUUUAGGUGCAUCAUCGACCGAUCCUGAUGUCUUCGGAUGGAUUUGAGUAGGAGCAUAACUGUUCGGACCCGAAAGAUGGUGAACUAUGCGUGGAUAGGGUGAAGCCAGAGGAAACUCUGGUGGAGGCUCGCAGCGGUUCUGACGUGCAAAUCGAUCGUCAAA
rnacentral:rRNA from 1 species